AGGCAGAGGCAAAGGAAGCAUGAGCUUGUGGGAGUUGUAGGAAUGGAUGCGUAGAGAAAGAAAUGAAAUCUGAACCAGAUUUGUGAUUUGAUUCUUUCCUAUGACGUCCAUUCCAAUGAUUUCCAGUCGCUCCUUCCUUGGCCCAAACUGC
rfam:Oryza sativa (indica cultivar-group) chromosome 1, whole genome shotgun sequence.